rnacentral:rRNA from 1 species
AGUGAACGCUGGCGGUAGGCCUAACACAUGCAAGUCGAACGGCAGCACAGGAGAGCUUGCUCUCUGGGUGGCGAGUGGCGGACGGGUGAGGAAUACAUCGGAAUCUGCCCAGUCGCGGGGGAUAACGUAGGGAAACUUACGCUAAUACCGCAUACGACCUUCGGGGGAAAGAGGGGGAUCGCAAGACCUCUCGCGAUUGGAUGAGCCGAUGUCGGAUUAGCUAGUUGGCGGGGUAAUGGCCCACCAAGGCGACGAUCCGUAGCUGGUCUGCGAGGAUGAUCAGCCACACGGAAACUGAGACACGGUCCAGCCUCCUACGGGAGGCAGCAGUGGGGAUUAUUGGACAAUGGGCGCAAGCCUGAUCCAGCCAUACCGCGUGGGUGAAGAAGGCCUUCGGGUUGUAAAGCCCUUUUGUUGGGAAAGAAAUCUUUCAGGCUAAUACCCUGGGAGGAUGACGGUACCCAAAGAAUAAGCACCGGCUAACUUCGU